CUCUCUCUUUCCUUCUGCUUGCAGUCUGUCCGCUACCAGUUCUACCCAGAGAGCAGAAAAUGUGUGAAGUCUGCUCUCCAUACUCCAUUCCAGCACAUCGCAGUUCCCUCUAAUGCAACAUUAAUCACUCAGACAUACGUUGGUGGCUCCUCUGACCCACAAGAGGGGGUGCUGGUCAAUAUCUGGAACGUUGAAACUGGUGAUGGUGUUCCCUACAUCUUGACCUUCACUGCAUAUGGAUGCCUACCGCUGUCCGUUAACUACUUCUGUAAAGAGAAGGGAUGGAUUGUUGAAUCGAUCAACAGUUUGACCACAGGGAUCAGUGAUCCGAAUGUGUUUAUCCCACCUGCAUCAUGCACUCAGCUGAAUUGAGAAUAUUCUCUCUUGGAAGUGGUACAAAACGGAGGAUUUAUCUGAUUCUAAUAAAGAAAAGUUUCCAUGCCAAAUAAA